CGCGGCCUAKCAGCUUGUUGGNGGGGUAAUGGCUCACCAAGGCGUCGACGGGUAGCCGGCCUGAGAGGGUGACCGGCCACACUGGGACUGAGACACGGCCCAGACUCCUACGGGAGGCAGCAGUGGGGAAUAUUGCACAAUGGGCGAAAGCCUGAUGCAGCAACGCCGCGUGAGGGACGACGGCCUUCGGGUUGUAAACCUCUUUUAGCAGGGAAGAAGCGAAAGUGACGGUACCUGCAGAAAAAGCACCGGCUAACUACGUGCCAGCAGCCGCGGUAAUACGUAGGGUGCAAGCGUUAUCCGGAAUUAUUGGGCGUAAAGAGCUCGUAGGCGGUUUGUCGCGUCUGCUGUGAAACCCCGAGGCUCAACCUCGGGCCUGCAGUGGGUACGGGCAGACUAGAGUGCGGUAGGGGAGAUUGGAAUUCCUGGUGUAGCGGUGGAAUGCGCAGAUAUCAGGAGGAACACCGAUGGCGAAGGCAGAUCUCUGGGCCGUAACUGACGCUGAGGAGCGAAAGGGUGGGGAGCAAACAGGCUUAGAUACCCUGGUAGUCCACCCCGUAAACGUUGGGAACUAGUUGUGGGGUCCAUUCCACGGAUUCCGUGACGCAGCUAACGCAUUAAGUUCCCCGCCUGGGGAGUACGG
rnacentral:rRNA from 1 species